UGCAGCAACAUGGAUGGACCUAGAGAUUAUCAUACUAAGUGAGUGGAGGAAACUGGAUUCAUUUGCCUUAAGCAAAACAUCAUAUUCUUCCUGCUUGGACAGUGAAACCUGGAGGGAAAGAAGGGCUAACAGGAGGCCAAGGGUCAGAUGAACUCAGAGAACAGACUGGAAUUGGCCACGACUGGGAAGUGUGAAGCCCUGCCCAGCAUGCUCUGAGCCACCUGGAAGAGUACAGCCUGCAGAAGUG